rnacentral:rRNA from 1 species
GCUUGUCUCAAAGAUUAAGCCAUGCAUGUCUAAGUAUAAGCCUUUAUAUGGUGAGACUGCGAAUGGCUCAUUAAAUCAGAAACUGUUUAUUUGAUAGUGCCUACUACAUGGAUACCUGUAGUAAUUCUAGAGCUAAUACAUGCCAUAACCGUAAGGUUGUAUUUAUUAGAUAUUCCUGGUAGGUGAUUCAUAAUAACUUAGCGAAUCGUGACUCGUUCACGAUAAAUCAUUCAAGUUUCUGCCCUAUCAUGCUUUCGAUGGUAGUGUAUUGGACUACCAUGGCUCUCACGGGUAACGGAGAAUUAGGGUUCGAUUCCGGAGAAGGAGCCUGAGAAACGGCUACUACAUCUAAGGAAGGCAGCAGG